AUCUCUUAGGAAUUCCAAAUAAAAAAUUAAAAAUAGAUGUAGUUACAAGGUGGAAUAGUGCCUAUGAAAUGAUAGAAAGAUAUUUGGAGGUUCAAGUUGCUGUAGUUGGAGCUUUACUUUCAAAGGAUGUGAAGAAUAAAGACAAAGAUCUCAAGUUUUUGCAAGAUGAUGAGCUUCGAGUUGCAGAGGAUUUCGUGAAAUGCAUGAAACCUUUGAAGUCAAUAACCACAACUCUCUGUACCGAGAAAAAUGCAUCGAUAUCUAUUAUUCUUCCUCUUCACAGAAGAUUGUGUGAUCAGUUGUUAAAGUCAUCAUCAGAAGAUUCACAUGUUGUAAGGGAGAUGUCUAUGUCACCAAAGUUGAAAAACCAAGACCAAUACUCCAGAGAAUUGAAGAUGAAGUCCAUAGGAAAGCUCGUCAGCGUUUAUGCAUUCCUGCAACUAGCGUUCCCUCAGAGAGAAUAUUCAGCACAGCUGGAGACAUUUUAUCUGCCCAACGAUCUACCUUAAAGUCAAAGCACGUUGACUAUCUCAUUUUUUUUAAAAAGAACAUGAAAGUGUAAAUGAUAUGUUUACAUGAAACUUUGGAAAAUUUGAUUGAGUCGUGUUUUCCCC
rnacentral:sRNA from 1 species